CCUACGGGGAGCAGCAGUGAGGAAUAUUGGUCAAUGGACGAGAGUCUGAACCAGCCAAGUAGCGUGAAGGAUGACUGCCCUAUGGGUUGUAAACUUCUUUUAUAUGGGAAUAAAAUGUUCCACGUGUGGGAUUUUGUAUGUACCAUAUGAAUAAGGAUCGGCUAACUCCGUGCCAGCAGCCGCGGUAAUACGGAGGAUCCGAGCGUUAUCCGGAUUUAUUGGGUUUAAAGGGAGCGUAGGUGGAUUGUUAAGUCAGUUGUGAAAGUUUGCGGCUCAACCGUAAAAUUGCAGUUGAAACUGGCAGUCUUGAGUACAGGAGAGGUGGGCGGAAUUCGUGGUGUAGCGGUGAAAUGCUUAGAUAUCACGAAGAACUCCGAUUGCGAAGGCAGUUCACUGGACUGCAACUGACACUGAGGCUCGAAAGUGUGGGUAUCAAACAGGAUUAGAUACCCUUGUAGUC
rnacentral:rRNA from 1 species